rnacentral:tRNA from 1 species
GCAUUCCGGUCAAUUCGGGUAAAUCAAGGAAAUGAGUGGACGACUGCCCUCCGAAGGCAAAGGUCACACGUUCGAAUCGUGUCGGGUGCGCCA